rnacentral:tRNA from 1 species
GGGGAUGUAGCUCAGUUGAUUAGAGCACUACUCUGGCAGAGUAGGGGUCCGGGGUUUGAGUCCCCGCAUCUCCACCA